rnacentral:rRNA from 1 species
AGAGUUUGAUCCUGGCUCAGGACGAACGCUGGCGGCGUGGAUUAGGCAUGCAAGUCGAGCGGUAUGGUGCUUUCGGGCAUCAGAGAGUGGCGAACGGGUGAGUAACACGUAGGUUAUCUACCCUCAAGACGGGGACAACCCAGGGAAACUUGGGCUAAUACCGGAUGAAAGCAACCGUGAGGUUGUUUAAAAGAUGGCUUUAAGCUGUCGCUUGGGGAUGAGCCUGCGUCCUAUUAGUUAGUUGGUGAGGUAACGGCUCCCCAAGGCAAUGAUAGGUAGGCGGCCUUAACGGGUGGUCGCCCACACUGGGAUUGAGAAACGGCCCAGACUCCUACGGGAGGCAGCAGUCGAGAAUAGUCUACAAUGGCCGAAAGGGUUGAUAGUGCGACGCCGCGUGAACGAAGAAUCCCUUCGGGGUGUAAAAGUUCUUUUAUAUGUGAGCAGUGCCGGCUAUAUUAAUAGUAUAGUUGGAGAGAUAUUAGCAUAUGAAUAAGCAACGGCUAACUCCGUGCCAGCAGCCGCGGUAACACGGGGGUUGCAAGCGUUGUCCGGAAUUACUAGGCGUAAAGGGCAGGCAGGCGGACCUGCAAGUUUUCUGUUAAAGACGUCAGCUCAACUGGCGCACGGCAGGAGAUACUGCAGGUCUUGAAUGCGGUUGGGGAAGACAGAAUUCCUGGUGUAGCGGUGGAAUGCGCAGAGAUCAGGAGGAAUACCAAAGGCGAAGGCAGUCUUCCAAGCCGUUAUUGACGCUGAACUGCGAAGGUGUGGGUAUCAAACAGGAUUAGAUACCCUGGUAGUCCACACAGUAA